GACGAACGCUGGCGGCGUGCUUAACACAUGCAAGUCGAACGGAAAGGCCCGGCGUUUGUGGGGUGCUCGAGUGGCGAACGGGUGAGUAACACGUGAGGAACCUGCCCCUGUCUGUGGGAUAACUUCAGGAAACUGGGGCUAAUACCGGGUAGGAGCUCUUGCACCGUGGUGGGGGUUGGAAAGUGUCGGUUGUUGGGGCUGGACUCGCGGCUUAUCAGCUGCUUUGUGGGGUAGUGGCUUUCCAAGGCUUUGACGGGUAGCCGGCCUGAGAGGGUGACCGGCCACAUUGGGACUGAGGUACGGCCCAGACUCCAACGGGAGGCAGCAGGGGGGAAUAUUGCGCAAUGGGCGGAAGCCUGAUGCAGCAACGCCGCGUGCGGGAUGACGGCCUUCGGGUUGUAAACCGCUUUCGCCUGUGACGAAGCGUGAGUGACGGUAAUGGGUCAAGAAGCACCGGCUAACUACGUG
rnacentral:rRNA from 1 species